CUGUUCUUCUUCCUCAAAAGACAAGCAGCCCUGUCACUGAACGCACCUGUUUUCACACUCAGAAACUUUCAGCUUUAUUUACAAACUCCUCUUUAAUCUCGUUGGUAGGGUUUAAACUGGGAUGUUCUGUUUUCGGGAAAUCUCACCAUCCUAUGGAUAUUUAGCAAACUUUGAAAAGUCCGAUCAUCAGAACAUUGACACGGAAAUGGCUGCUCGGACAUCUGAGCGUCACUGCUUGACUCACCGUCUGUGUUUGCAGGAGGUAGUUUAAAGCAAAGAGGGACCAGCGACUGGACGGCAAACACAUCAUCACAGAUGUGCGUUCAGCUCUUCAGCAGGAUGUGCAGGUGAAGCUUGGAGAGGACAUCACUCUCCAGUGUCAGAUUACCACAGAUGAAAUAAUCUCAGUGCUGAAGUGGAGCAGAGCUGACCUGAACACAGACGGCUACGUCUACUUCUACAGGAACAAACGCUCCUAUGAAAACUACCAACAUCCAUCUUUUCAUGGCCGAGUGAAGCUGAGGGACCCAGAGAUGAAGGAUGGAGACGUUUCUCUGAUCCUGAACAACGUCACGUUUAAUGACACUGGGAUUUAUGAGUGUCAUGUAGCUGUGAGGAACCCUGUGAGAAGUAAAAGAGUUCACACUGAGAUCAGUCACUUCUUCAACCUCACAGUCACAGGUGAAACGGAUAAAACCAUGUCGGAAAAGCAGCUGAAGGAAAAAGGAGCUACAGAAGGAAACAUGUAUGAUAGAAAAGCAGAAACUCUGAGUGUUCAGAUUAUUGUUGUUGUUGUUGUUAUUGUUCUCGUCACUACUGUCAUUGGGUUUAUGGUAUUUUUGAGAUUUAAAAGAAAUAAGGAGCAGUUCAUAGCCAAGCCUAGUGAUGAGAGUGAGGAAAUGGCCUGAAAUGUUACUUUCUUUACGAUGCAAUAAAGAGCCCCUCGGGAUAAUUUCUUGUUACAUCUCAAUGUACAUCAAUUAUUUACAUAUACACUGCAUCUCUGCUGUGUGUGCUUCACCCGAACCCCUUUGAGAAUCUUUUAGAGUUGCUGACAGCUGUAAGUCAAGAUAAAUGUUGUCCUUGCAUAUGCAAAGUGAAGCAACGAACUGUUAACAGCAGCUAACAGCUUGGUUAUUAAGGAGAUAAACAUGGUCCCUGUAGAAACAAGAAUUGGCACCCUCAUGUAUUGCAUUCAAAGGUUCAUAUGGAUAAGUUCGGAUAAGUUGCUGCUCAAAACAAAGGUCUUGUAUUGAUACCAGAAUCAGCUGUUUAAUGUAGAAACAGCACUGGUGUUCACAUUCAGUUCAGUUUUAUUUAUAUAGUCACAUUUCACAAUAGGUUUGACUUCAAGGUGCUUUAUGCUGUCAGGUUAACACCCAACAAUAGCAAAGAAAGCUCCAACAAUCAAGCUGUGAACAAGCACUUGGGUAGACUCUUUAUAUUCAAUCAUCAAACAAAAGAAGCUUCAGUGACACUGAAAUUACAUGUAACUUAAACUUAAACUCUGCUGAUAAUAACUUCUGUUCACUGGUAAAUUAAAUGGACUGAUCCUUACAUAGCACUUUUCUACUCUCCCGGAUCGCUCAGAGCGCUUCAUACUACAUGCCACAUUCACACAGGAACUUUCUUCUAUGCUUUAAGUGCUUUCUAUUUAACAUUCAUUCUCUGAUGGACGCAUCCGAGAGCAACUUGGGGUUAGUAUCUUGCCCAAGGUUUAUGACCCCGCCCUCAGUUUGUUCUUCUUCCUUUAAAAGACACUUGAGCGUGCACUUGAAAACAAACACACCCGCUUUCACGCUUGGAAACUUUCAGCUUUAUUGAAAAACCGGGAUCUCCUGUUCUCGGGUAAUCUCACCAUCCUUUGGAUAUUUAGCAAACUUUGAAAAGUAGGAUGAUCCGAACAAUAAGACGGAAAUGGCUGCUCGGACAUCCGAGGUUCCGAGCUGCACUCACCGUCUUUGUCUGCAGGUCAGGCUGCAGACAGACACUUCACUUCCCAGCCUCCAGUCACAGCAGUCACAGAUGGAGUCCCUCAUAGUCUUCUUGUUCAUGAUUUCUUGCUCUUUAGCUCUGCAGCAGAAUCUGCAGGCGAAGCUUGGAGAGGACAUCACUCUCCAGUGUCAGAUUACCACAGAUGAAAUAAUCUCAGUGCUGAAGUGGAGCAGAGCUGACCUGAACACAGACGGCUACGUCUACUUCUACAGGAACAAACGCUCCUAUGAAAACUACCAACAUCCAUCUUUUCAUGGAAGAGUGAAGCUGAGGGACCCAGAGAUGACAGAUGGGGACGUUUCACUGAUCCUGAACAACGUCACGUUUAAUGACACUGGGAUGUAUGAGUGUCACGUAGCAGUGAGGAACCCUGUGAGAAGUAAAAGAGUUCACACUGAGAUCAGUCACUUCAUUGACCUCAUUGUCACAGACCAGAAAAACAUCACAGCUGAGUCUGGGCAGAACAUCUCGCUGCCAUGUGGAGCUCCAACUAAUAAUAAUCAGAUGUUGGCUGUUCAGUGGAGCAGAGCUGACCUGGAGCAAGAAUAUGUGCUUUUGUACAGAGAUGAGGUUUUUGUUCCAGACAACCAGCAUCCAGCUUUUAAGAAGCGGGUGGAUCUGCAGAGCAGACAGAUGAAGGAUGGAGACGUGUCUUUGAUUCUGAAGAAUGUGACGGUUAAUGACACUGGAACAUACGAGUGUUGUGUCUUCAGGAGAGGAAAAAACCACAGGAUUAGCACCAUCAGCCUGAGUGUUGUUCCUCCAUCAGAUGGAGAGGAGGAGGGUGGAGUCAGCAGAGGACGCUUUGGACUUGUAGCUGCUCUGCCUGCUUUUGUUGUGAUCAUCGCUGUCAUAGUUGUGAUCUCCAAGAAACAGAAGAUGAAUAAUACGCUUACUUCCUCCCCACGGCCAGUGUAGAUGAAGCCUCUGCAGUAUCUCACAGCUGUGGACACAGAUGGAUUCUCUCAAGUUCCUCCUGAUUUCAUCCCUAAUUUCUGCAUCUGCAUACCAGACAAACAUCACAACUGAGACUGGACAGAACAUCUCGCUGCCAUGUGGAGCUCCAACUAAUAAUAAGCAGAUCUUGGCUGUGCAGUGGAGCAGAGCUGACCUGAAGGAAAAAUAUGUCCUUUUGUACAGAGAUGAGGUUUUUGUUCCAGACAACCAGCAUCCAGCUUUUAAGAACCGGGUGGAUCUGCAGGACAGACAGAUGAAGGAUGGAGACGUGUCUCUGAUUCUGAAGAAUGUGACA